rnacentral:tRNA from 1 species
AAGAACAUAGCUCAAGUGGUAGAGCGGUAGACUUUUAAUCUAUUGGUUGCAGGUUCGAGCUCCUGUUGUUCUUA